GGAAAGGGGGUCGCAGAGAGACGAGGCGGAAGAGAAAGAGAGAGAGGAGGGGCUCCAAGAGUUCUUUUAUAAGGUAACCCAGGGCAUGCACAGGUGGUUCCAGGUGAUCAGCGGGUGGUCUUCUUGGUGGCUUCACAAAUGCCUGAUAACUGGUUUGUCAGGUCCCUUGGGGCUGGCCAUAGAGAUGCCUCCUUACUGAUCCCAACUUUCCUCCCUUUUUGUUUUGUUAAAAAGUGAGGAGUCAGGAAGGGGUGAUGGUGGGGGAAGGGCACAGGGACGACUUCUGCUUUUCAAGCUACUUCCUGCUGAUUAGGGGCGUUGUCCUUCUCGGGAUACAGCUGGCUCCCAUCAUCGGGGUCAUAGUCUGGCUCUGAGGGCAGAGGUUGAUAAUCCUGUAGGAGUAACUGAUUAAUGGUUUGGUUAGAGAUUUUUUGCAUUUGUUGUUGGAAGAAUGUAGAGAGGAAGUUAAUUAAGCAAGGUGCAAAAAGCAAAAGCGGAAAGACUAGCACGGGAGGUGAGACAAGGGGCAGAAUCCAUUUCCAUAUGGGAUUCUGAAAGGCCCAAGAGCUAGAGGCCUCCAGCUCUUCCUUCCUUUUUUGUAAAUCUGUCUGGAGUUGUUGGAUUUUGUCCUUUACUAUACCCGACUGGUUGACAUAAAAACAGCAUUCCUCCUGGAGGAAGAGGCAAAGGCUAUGUUCUUUAGCUGUGAGGAGAUCCAAUCCACGUCGGUUUUGAAGUACUACUACUGCCAAUUUUAGGUAAUUGGGACAUAUUUUCUCUGGAUAUGGAUAGUACUUAUUGGUAAAUCGGGUGUGUAGCAGCGGUAAGAGUUUUCCAACGACGCCUGCUUCCCAUUUGGCAUCCCACGGGUCUUGGAUGUAUAAGUAGCGGGUCUUUUGAUACAGGUGAAGGAGCUUCUUCUGUGCUGGUUUCAGGCUGAAGAGAUGGCUCAGAGGUUCUUCCAAUAGGUCCUGAGUUCAAGUCCCAGCAACCACAUGUUGGCUCACAACCAUCUAUAAUGAGAUCUGGUGCCUUCUUCUGGCCUGCAGGCACACAUGCAGGCAGGAUACAGUAAAUAAAUGAAUCUUUUUAAAAAAUUUCUUAGCUACAAAUGGACAUUAGUAUUCAUUCUAUCUUUGAAACUUGAUCCUCAGACUUUAAUGCAGAGAUAACUAUGAUAAAAAGUAGUUAAGUUAUCAUUAUAAAUACUUUAACAACUUUUUUUAGUUGUGGAACUGGAGAGACGGAUUAGCAGUUAAGAGCACUGCCUGCUCUCCCAGAGGACCCACGUUCAGUUCCCAGAACCUGUAAGAUGACUCACUACGUUGGUAACUCCAGUUCAGGGUAUCUGAUACCCUCUUCUGGCCUCCAUGCCCUGCACAGACAUACAUGCAGCAAAAUACUCAUAGAUAUAUAAUAAAGGUAGAUCUUAUUAUUUUUAAUUUUAGUUUUAAUAGGAAUAGGAGACUAACUCUUAAUUCUGAACACUUUUUAAUGGUCAUGCUUCUCAUGUUUUUUUUUUUUUUUAGAGUGAGGGUUGGGAAGGGAGGUGAGAGAAUAAACUUAACAAAUACCACUAAGCAUGACCACUGGUUUUUUUCCACAUGGCUGUCCAUCCUUUGCCUGGUGUGGUCAUUGUGAUGGAGUGAGGAACAGAGCUGUUGGUUUGGAUUCAAAUUUCACCACGUGGGAGAGUCUAAAAGCAUGAGUAAAGAUGAAAAUAAAGAUAAUGUAGGGACUAUUCAAAACCAUACACCCAAGGCAGAGAAACUUAAAAGAGAAAGCCCAAAAUGGGAAGACUCUACAGGGAAAGAAGGGGCAAAACCUCAGCAUGGAAGACGGGGGUCCCCAAAAACAUGUCAACACCUCUGCCCAGUGGAAUUCGUCCUUUGGUGAGAAGGCCUACAGAUGUUCUAAAUGCCGGGAAAGCUUCAGCAACAAUUCUCACCCGCAUACCCACCAGAGGACACACUCAGAAGAAAAAAACAAAAACAAAAACCUUAAAAAUGUUCUGGAUGUGGGAGAGCCUUUUGUAACUGUUCCCACUCGAUUCAGCGUUUGAGAAGCACACAGGGGAGAACCUCUUCCUGCGUGGUGAGCGCGGGGAAAAGCUUCAGCAGUCCUUCCCCUCUUAUCCACGAGAGAACUCACACAGGAGAGAAGCCUUACCAGUGUCCUGACUGUGGAAAGGGUUUCUGGAGCAGCUCCCACCUUCGUCAGCCUCACAGAUCACACAGCGGCGAAAGGCCAUGUGCAUGUCCUGUUGGCGGCAAAGGCUUCGGUCGCGGCUAUGUUCUAGUAGAACACAGGAGGACUCACACUGGAGAAACACCCUCUAGGUUCCCUGAAUGCUGGAAGAGCUUCAGUCAGUUCCAGCCUGAUUCGCCACCAGGGGACGCACAUAGGUGAAAAGCCCGACAAGGCUUUGGUUGUAACUCUAAUAAAGCAUCAGAGAACACAUUCAGGAGGAAAGCCUGUCCUAAGCGUGCAAAGACUUUCAGUCGAGGUUCAAACCUUUAGCACAAUAGACGAUGUACACGGGAAGGAAAUCCUCUGGAAAUACUGAAUGCGAAGGAAGUGCAUCAGAGCUACAGUGUGACAGAGUGCAGAGUCGAGCCAAGAGGGAAACCAUUGUACGUGCUAUGAAUGUGGAAAGAGUUUCGGCCUCAGCUCCCACCUUAUUAUGCAUCAGAGAACACACGCUGGAGAGAAGUCUUACCGGUGUUCCGAGUAUUGGAAAACGUUCAGUUGGAGCUCCACCCUGGUGACUCACCAGAGGACACACGUAGGAGAGAAGCCUUCUAAGUGUCUCGACUGUGGCAAGCCCUUCAGUGCAAGGUUUAACCUGAUCAGGAACCAGAGAACCCACAUAGGGGAGGAGAAACCUUACAAAUGUGUGGGCUUCGAGAAACGCUGCAGCAGAAACGCCCACCUCACUCAGCACUGCAAAAAGCACAGUCAGGUCUCUCAGGCCUCCUCAGUUGGGGCAUUUCCUUCAUGCGUGGACCCAACAAACCUGUUCAGGGGAAAUGGUCCUGAGCCUUUAAUUUUCGGCUUCAGAUUCUCAAAUUCUCCUUAUUAAAUCAUUAGAAUUAAGGUGCUAUA